rnacentral:rRNA from 1 species
UACGGAGGGUGCAAGCGUUGUCCGGAAUCACUGGGCGUAAAGCGCACGUAGGCGGUUGCCUAAGUCAUUUGUGAAAUCCCGGGGCUCAACUCCGGGCCUGCAAGUGAUACUGGGUAACUGGAGCUCGGUAGAGGCGAGUGGAAUUCCCGGUGUAGCGGUGGAAUGCGUAGAUAUCGGGAAGAACACCAGUGGCGAAGGCGACUCGCUGGGCCGUAGCUGACGCUGAGGUGCGAAAGCGUGGGGAGCAAACAGGAUUAGAUACCCCCGUA